rnacentral:rRNA from 1 species
CCCGUAGGGGGCGAGCGUUAUUCGGAAUUAUUGGCCGUAAAGGGCGCGUAGGCGGCUAGACAAGUCAGGGGUGAAAUCCCUCGGCUCAACCGAGGAACUGCCUUUGAAACUGUCUGGCUUGAGGCCGGGAGAGGGUGGUGGAAUUCCCAGUGUAGCGGUGAAAUGCGUAGAUAUUGGGAGGAACACCAGUGGCGAAGGCGGCCACCUGGACCGGUUCUGACGCUGAGGCGCGAAAGUGUGGGGAGAAAACAGG